GGUUUGAUUCUGGCUCAGAUUGAACGCUGGCGGGAUGCUUUACAUGCAAGUCGAACGGCAGCACGGACUUCGGUCUGGUACGCGAGUGGCGAACAGGUGAGUAAUGUAUCGGAACGUGCUAGUAGCGGGGGAUAACUACGCGAAAGCGUAGCUAAUACCGCAUACGCCCUUCGGGGAAAGCGGGGACCUUCGGGCCUCGCACUAUUAAGCGGCCGAUAUCGGAUUAGCUAGUUGGUGGGAGUAACGGCUCACCAAGGCGACGAUCCGUAGCUGGUUUGAGAGGACGACUCCAGCCACACUGGGACUGAGACACGGCCCAGACUCCUACGGGAGGCAGCAGUGGGGAAUUUUGGACAAUGGGGGAAACCUGAUCCAGCCAUCCCGCGUGUGCGAUGAAGGCCGCUGGGUUGUAAAGCACUUUUGGCAGGAAAGAAACGGCACGGGAUAAUACCCCGUGCAACUGACAACCUGCAGAAUAAGCACCGGCUAACUACGUGCCAGCAGCCGCGGUAAUACGUAGGGUGCAAGCGUUAAUCAGGUUACUGGGCGUAAAGCGUGCGCAGGCGGUUCCGGAAGAAGAUGUGAAAUCCCAGAGCUUAACUUUGGAACUGCAUUUUUAACUACCGAGCUAGAGUGUGUCAGAGGAGUGGAAUUCCGCGAUGUAGCAGUGAAAUGCGUAGAUAUGCGGAGGAACACACCGAUAGCGAAGGCAGCCUCCUGGGAUAACACUGACGCUCAUGCACGAAAGCGUGGGGAGCAAACAGGAUUAGAUACCCUGGUAGUCCACGCCCUAAACGAUGUCAACUAGCUGUUGGGGCCUUCGGGCCUUGGUAGCGCAGCUAACGCGUGAAGUUGACCGCCUGGGGAGUACGGUCGCAAGAUUAAAACUCAAGGAAUUGACGGGGACCCGCACAAGCGGUGGAUGAUGUGGAUUAAUUCGAUGCAACGCGAAAAACCUUACCUACCCUUGACAUGUCUGGAAUCCCGAAGAGAUUUGGGAGUGCUCGCAAGAGAACCGGAACACAGGUGCUGCAUGGCUGUCGUCAGCUCGUGUCGUGAGAUGUUGGGUUAAGUCCCGCAACGAGCGCAACCCUUGUCAUUAGUUGCUACGAAAGGGCACUCUAAUGAGACUGCCGAGUGACAAACCGGAGGAAGAUUGGGGAUGACGUCAAGUCCCCUCAUGGCCCUUAUGGGUAGGGCUUCACACGUCAUACAAUGGUCCAGGUGAGGGUCGCCAACCCGCGAGGGGAGCCAAUCCCAGAAACCCGAUCGUAGUCCGGAUCGCAGUCUGCAACUCGACCGCGUGAAGUCGGAAUCGCUAUUAAUCGCGGAUCAGCAUGUCGCGGUGAAUACGUUCCCGGGUCUUGUACCCACCGCCCGUCACACCAUGGGAGUGGGUUUACCAGAAGUAGUUAGCCUAACCGUAAGGAGGGCGAUUACCACGGUAGGAUUCAUGACUGGGGUGAAGUCGUAACAUGGGAGCAUCAGGUGGCCAACCCAGAGUUACCUUGGGUACGACUUCACCCCGGUCAUGAAUCCUACCCGUGGCCCUCACUACGGUAGGCUAACUACUUCUGAAGCCAAAACCCACUCCCAUGUGUGACAGCGGCCAGAGUGAUCCGCGAUACCAGCGAUUCCGGCCUCCGCGUCAGGUUACGAUCGAUUUCUGGGAUUGGCUCCCCCUCGCGGUUGACGUUACUCCAUCCGACCGACUAUGACGUCGAGAAACUACCCACUGGAGCCAUGAAAGACUGACGUCAUCCGGUUUGUCACCGGCGAUGGGAAUAGCGCUUUCGUAACGUAAUGACAAGGGGUGCGCUCGUUACUUUAACAUCUCACGACACGAAGUGACGACGGCCGCGCAUACCUGUAUGUUCCGGUUAUACUGCGGCACUCCCCAAAUAAUAGGACCAGACAUGUCAGGUAGGUACAAAGCGUUGCCUCGAAUAAUCCGCAUCGUACUUGUACGGAGAUCCCUACGUUUGAGUUUUAAUCUUACGUACUCCCCAGGCGUCAACUUCACGCGUUAGCUGCGCUAUAACGAAGGCUAUUUGGCUAGUUGUCGUUUAGGGCGUGGACUACCAGGUAUCUAAUCCUGUUUGCUCCCCACGCUUUUCGUGUACGAUCGGUGUUAUCCCCUUCUCAUCGAUGUUCCUCACACUAUCUACACACAUUUCACUGCUACACACUCCACCUCCCUCUGACACACUCCUAGCUCGGCAAUUAAAAUGCAGUUCAUACAAAGGUUCAUCUUUUCCGAGCUGCGCACGCUACAUAUUAAUUCCGAUUAACGCUUGCCAUAUUGCGGCAACGACGUAAUCAGCCGGUGCUGUCUGCAGGUUUUCGUACGCGGGUGUUAUCCGUGCCGUUUCACCCUGCUACAACGAGAAGACGCUCAUCACACACGGGAAAUAACCUGGAUCAGGAGAUUUUCCCCAUUGUCCAAAAUUCCCCACUGCGGUCUGGACCGUAUCUCAGUCUGGUCGUCCUCUCAAACCAGCUACGGAUCGUCGCCUUACUGAGUGAGGCCGUUGCCCCACCAACUAAUAAUGCGUAUCAGCCGUAAUAGAUGCGGGCCCGGAGAUCCCCGUGCGGUAUUAACUACGCUCGCUGUAGUUAUCCCCGCCUGCAGGCCGCACCGACCGUUCUCACCCGUUCGCCACUCGCUGUGUAAAGCGUCCCGCCGAGCGUUCAGAAUGUCUGAGUAUGUGAUCAAAAACU
rnacentral:misc_RNA from 1 species